AUUAUUUAUUCACAUGUCAUGAUUUGAACAUUGGAAAUGUUUGCUCACUGACUGUCAUUCGUUAUGAAGAGAUGACAUCUCUUGUUAUUUUUUUUUUUUAAUGGAGCCUCAGUUUUUCUUGCCUCUCUUAUUAACUUCAGCUUGAUAUUUGAAUUGAUGGCAAUUAAUUCAUGAUAUUUUCCAGACCAGACAUUGUUUUGUUCAGUGAAUUGCAUGGAACUUGUACAUCAUAUAUUGUUUUUCUUCCAAAGGAUGAACAGUCUUUUUCAUAUGUCAUGUGAGCUGUAUCUAUAACAUUAAAAGCAUAAAAAAACAAAUGUAUAAAAAAAAAACAAUUCCAUAUCUGUUGAGUAUAUAUAUAUCUCUAGUCAGUCUGUACAUGUGAACGUUGCCCCAUCCUGUUUGUAUUAAUUCACUCAUAAGAUGUAAUUUAUACAAAUGUCAUCAACAAUCAUUAUUUAACAACAAAGAAAUAAUAAAUGUUUUACAAAAAGUU
rnacentral:sRNA from 1 species